rfam:Camelus ferus unplaced genomic scaffold scaffold1358, whole genome shotgun sequence.
GUGGGUAUAGCUCAGUGGUAGAGCACAUGCCUAGCAUGCACAAGGUCCUGGGUUCAACCCCCAGUAUCGUCA